AAUACUUGCUUAGAUAACAUAAAUAUGUAGAAGUAAAUAAAAGUAGAUUAAUUUGAUAAUAUCUUAUAGAAAAGCUUUUUAUAAGCUUCAUAGACACGAUUUCAUCUUUACACGUAUCUAAAGAUGAUUGGUAGUGUGGAGUAAAAUAAAUUCCUAGUAGUUGGAAGUUUAUUCUAAUCACAAUGAUUUAAUUAUUUAAAUGUUCUAACAAUCAUUGUUUAAUGUUUGAUUUAAUGUCCAAAAAGUCUUAUAACAUUCCAAUUAUGAGUAAAAUAAAUGAUCCUAAUAAGUGAUUUAUUCCAAUUCACAAGUACUAAUUAACUUAUGAAUGAUUAAAUAAAAAUUCUUCUCACUUCUUGUUAAGAAGAACUAACCUCUUUAACAAUUUAAAUUUACAUUCAAACAAUCACAAUC
rnacentral:lncRNA from 1 species